CCCCUUGUUUACAUAAAGUAUUUAGGUAGGACAAGUCCUUGAGGUGUUCGCGGUAGGGAUGGAGGGCCUCUGCUCGAGAUCUCUUGGCCCUUACCUUUGUCCCUGGACCUUCCGUGUUUCAGUUUUAAUCUUGAAAUGGAGUGGCCUUCAGAACUGGGGAGAUACUGUAAACCAGUUAUCUUUUUAUCACCAAUGGUAAUUGAAAACUAGUUGAGUGAUGUCAGAUCUUUCUGUCAGGGUUGAAUUUGAUGGUUAUUUCAGCAGCUGGGUUUUUGUUUUUGAAGUUUUGGUCCACCCCAAAAAAUGAAAGUCUAACGCAUGUUAAGAAUUUAUUCUCCUGUUAGGUUUUGGUGUUUGAGGUGUGGAUUUCAGAGUUGGCUAUUCUGUUAGAUUUAGAGGUGUGGAACAUCUUUUUAACUGAGAGAUCCUGAAACAUGCAAACAUGGCAGGGAAGUUAGAAUUUCCUGAUGGUCAUAUUUAACAUUUUAAAGUUUACUUUUUGGUUGUUGCCAUUUUUCUAGGAUUCAUGUCUUUUUUGGGGAAGUACAGUUUAGUUCUUUGAGGACUAGAAUUUAAUGAUUUCUUCUUUUACACAUGUAGGAGUUUUUGAGAUUUGGGAAGGAUAUGGAUAUGGCUUUAUUCCUAAGGAAAUGGAGGCAGUAGUUUCAGGAUACUCUCUUUUCAAGGUAUGCUAACCUGGUUAUGAUGUCUAACCGAUUUUGGUUGACAGCCAGACCACUAGCGCAAUGAAUGCCUGGCACAUAGUUUGCAAAUCAUUUAAGGGAAGCUUACUCUCUUAAGACAGUUUAAUACGUAGAAGUGUCCCUCCUAAAAAUCUGAGUUUGAUUUAGCAAUCCAGUUAUACCUGCAGGUACUGAUGAUUAAUUCUUUGAAGACAAAAUAAGCAGCUGUAUAGCUUCACUGGUAGAUUCAGUGUAUACUUGUCUUGUACUUUCCUGUUUUUUGAUCAGCUAGAUAAAUGACUUUAGUGGGUAAAUGUCUGCCUACAAAACCAAAUUCUGACCCUGAUCUAAAUAGUAUCCCAGUGCACCGCUAUCACUGAAACAUCAAAGUUAGCCUUCAGAUGGGCAUUCCUGGUUCCUUGGGUUGGCUUGAGUGAGGUCUGUCUCAUCUUAUUAGGGGACUAAAAUGAUUUUGGUUGUUUUGUAGAGAAUCAUAAUUAGAGAUCUGUAGAUAAUCUUAAUUCUUUUGGACUUUGUAAAAAUUUUCAACCUUACGUCGGUGGAAGUGGUCAUGUGAAGAAUGAAACUUUUAAGAAAGAAAAAAUGGGCAAAACUAAUGCUAAACUUGAGACUAUUGGGCAGAAAUUUGCCUAUGUAUAUAGUAAUUGGUCUUGAGUCAAAGUAUGCUUAUUUUUAAGAUCACUGAGUAUUUCCUAGUGCUACACUCUAUAUAGGUUUGCUUAUAGAAAUAAACCCAGGGGUAAGCCCAGAAACUGAGUAUCAACCCUAAAGAAAGCCUUAUCAAGAGCGUCUAUUCUCUUCAAGAGCUGCUACUGGAGUUUAGGACUGGGCUGGUUUGCUGCUUAUUUUCUCCAGACAUAUGCAGCCACACUUGAAUUUUGCCAAGUAUGCACAUUAUUCCAACUUGCAGUCACAAUCAUCAACUAAUAGCAUUAUGAGGAGAGCUAUACAGACUGUAUGUUUUUUACAGCUUGUUGAAAUAGAAACAUUUAGAUGGAUACAUAAAUGUGCAAAUGUUGGGAAAAAACAGUAGCCCUAGCA